ACCCCCUUGCUCAUCAAAUAAAGGCAGUUAGUCUUCGGGGUAUUUCUAUCAGCUUUUAGAGCGAUGAGUCUUAGGGGUUUUCUAUCAUGAAGAACUAGACAAGUAUUUUUGAAGAUGGAUCCAAGUACUGUACCAAGAAAAAUAGGUGACUCACUUUUUAAAGAUAAUUUCUAUAAUUUCUUUUGCUAUAUGAUUAUCAUGUUUUUUAUUCAUGCAUAGAAUGAAUCUUGAAGGAUAGCUUAAAUUCAGGGUUUUCGUUCUUUGCUCCAACUGAUGAUCAAUUUGGGUGAAACAUCGGGAUUUGUUUUUGUGAAUUUUUGAAGGCUUCAUCUUUUUUUCUUUUUUUUCCUUUCCUAACCGUUGUCUCCUGUUAAUAAGAAGAACUAGACAAGGAUUUUAAUUCAAGUGCUGUUCCAGAUCAACACAAAGGUAAGUUAAUAAUAAGAUAUUUAAAAAACGGGUCAGUCUAUUUUCACGAUAGUUUCUAUAAUUUCUUUAGCUAUAUGAUGAUAAAUCAAGUUUCAGUUGAUUCUGUUUUUGUGAAUUCUCUGAGGGUUUUCAUAGAAUCUCUAAAUUUUGGGAUUCAGCAAUUAUGUUCUCUCUUUUUUCUAUUACAAUAUGUUCUUUUUUCUAUAGUCUUUGUUUCUAUAAUUCCCUUGUCUUUAUGAUUACAUUCUUCGAUGUUGCAUUUGGAUGAAUUUUGAAGGAUCUUUUUUGGAUUUUGUUCUUUGGAGUGAUAAUCAAUAUUGGGUUUCAUUGGAUUUUUUAUGUGAGUUUCCUCUUAGUUGAAUCUUCAAUGUAAUAUGUGCUUUUGUGUUAUGUUUUUGUUAUUCGUUUUUGACUGGAGAAAGAACUCAUUUCCACUCUCAAAUGGGGGUAGGAACGUGGUCUGAAACAACACGGCCAACCAAAUUUGAAUUUUUGCUCUUUAUGUUCGUUUUAAAGUUGUGAUGUAGAAACACAUUCUUUAUUCUAUUUGUGUUUCAUGGAUAUCAGGAAGAGGAUUUGUUGCUUGGAUUCUUCCACGUACCUCAUCUAGGUUUUUAUUGAGCCCUAGAAGAAAUUUAUAGAUUCUUUUCUUCUCCACUUUUUUCUUGUAUCUUGCUGCAUCUCCUUGAGAUUCCAAUUCAUUUCUUCUUGACACAAGUCGUGAUGGACGCCUUCGAUCUCAAAUGAUUUAGGAUUCUCGAGGCCUAAAGACAUAAUGGUUCAUUGAAUUGAUUAGCGAUAACAUCAGCAUAUUAUAUUCUGCUUCAACUCUUGAACUUUGAAUCAUUGGCUGCUGGAGUUAUGGCAGCCCUGGUGACAUAUUAUUCUCCAUUCCCUUUCCUCAGAUAAACAUUAUAAUGGAUUGGGGACCAUUGUAACUAAUUUUCCUAUUCAGUCGGCACUCUAAUUUAGGUAUCUCUGGACAGAGCAUUCAAAUUUGGGUAUCUCUGGAUAGGUUUAAUUGCAGGUUAAUUGAUUUUUGGUUAUUCAAGUUGUAUGAGCAUUCUAAAUUACCUCAAUCAUGGUUAGUUUGCACUUUUUAAUAUUGAAAGUGCAUGACAUUUCAACAAGUGAUACUAUAUACUCUUGCCCUUCGGACAAAAGGCUGAUACUUCCAGGGUAACUGUUUCUUCAUCCCACGAUGAGGCGAAUUCAUGAGUUUCCCAAAAAUGUUUCCGUUUACUUUUCAAUCAGUAUCUUUUCACAUUCUGAAAUUUGAAACAGCUUUCAGGAUCAGCAGAAGUUUUGCACUUUUGCCCAUCCCUGAUGUGGGUCAUCCAUUAGCUAAAUUCCAGCUAAAGAGAUUAAAACACAGUAUAAACUUCUUGUUAAAGAUUACAUCAAAAUUAAGGAAUGCAUAACAAAUAUGAAUAUAGAACUCACUGGAAUGAAUGAAGUCGCUACCCUUUCGUGGAGGAUCAUUUCAUGCUUCAACAAUUUUUUUCUACUAUACUUUACCUAUUCAAAAACUCAAUUAGAUUUCUAUAGAAAGCAUCAACACCAAACAACAUCAUUGAACUUGAAGCAACUUCUCUUUGCACCAACGCAUCUCUCUCUAGCAAUUGAUGAAUUAAUUGAUGCUUAUAUUACCUGGCGAAGCAGAAAAAGAAUGCUAUGAAAAGCGAAGCUUUUCUACUCUAUAUGACAACUGAGAACUCCAUUGCCUGUGAGUAUUUGUAGAAAUAAUUCUUUAGUGAAGGUUUUCCUUUUGAGCCUUUGUCUUUACAUAUGUAGGAGGAAGAUCUAUUUGUAUUUUAAGUACGAGCACUAGUUGGAUAAAACUUGUAUUAUUUGUCUUUUUCUCAAUAAUAUUAUUGUUCGUAUUCCACAUGUAAAAUGAUUUCUUGUGUUUUGAAACGAUAUGACUUAAUAAGUUU